UAGGUGAACCUGCGGUAGGAUCAUUG
rnacentral:ncRNA from 4 species